UACGUAGGGGGCUAGCGUUGUGCGGAAUCAUUGGGCGUAAAGCGCGUGUAGGCGGUCCGAUAAGUCCGCUGUGAAAGUCGAGGGCUCAACCCUCGAAUGCCGGUGGAUACUGUCGGGCUUGAGUACGGAAGAGGCGAGUGGAAUUCCUGGUGUAGCGGUGAAAUGCGCAGAUAUCAGGAGGAACACCAAUUGCGAAGGCAGCUCGCUGGGACGUUACUGACGCUGAGACGCGAAAGCGUGGGGAGCAAACAGG
rnacentral:rRNA from 1 species